AAGCAGAGGGGGCUUAGUGGUGGGGUGACUGCGUACCUUUUGUAUAAUGGGUCAGCGACUUAUAUUCUGUAGCAAGGUUAACCGCAUAGGGGAGCCGAAGGGAAACCGAGUCUUAAUUGGGCGUUAAGUUGCAGGGUAUAGACCCGAAACCCGGUGAUCUAGCCAUGGGCAGGUUGAAGGUUGGGUAACACUAACUGGAGGACCGAACCGACUAAUGUUGAAAAAUUAGCGGAUGACCUGUGGCUGGGGGUGAAAGGCCAAUCAAACCGGGAGAUAGCUGGUUCUCCCCGAAAGCUAUUUAGGUAGCGCCUCGUGAACUCAUCUCCGGGGGUAGAGCACUGUUUCGGCUAGGGGGCCAUCCCGGCUUACCAACCCGAUGCAAACUGCGAAUACCGGAGAAUGUUAUCACGGGAGACACACGGCGGGUGCUAACGUCCGUCGUGAAGAGGGAAACAACCCAGACCGCCAGCUAAGGUCCCAAAGUCAUGGUUAAGUGGGAAACGAUGUGGGAAGGCCCAGACAGCCAGGAUGUUGGCUUAGAAGCAGCCAUCAUUUAAAGAAAGCGUAAUAGCUCACUGGUCGAGUCGGCCUGCGCGGAAGAUGUAACGGGGCUAAACCAU
rnacentral:rRNA from 1 species